rnacentral:sRNA from 1 species
GGAUAUGAGGAUGAUCUGGCUGUAACAUCUGUCAACCCAUUGAUCACCAGGGUUGAUUCAACUGAUCUGGCUGGCUAGGCCAGUUUCCCCUUCCUCCCUCAAGGCUCCACGUGCGUUCCUUCUGAAGUGGCGCGCUCCGUUGAAGAGGACGACCACCCCCGAUAGAGGAGGACUGUUCCUCGGUCAAGGGUAUAUGAGUAGCUGUGCUCCUCUGCUAGAACCUCCAAACAAGAUCUCAAAAAGCCUGGACUGUUUCUCUCCCUAUUCUUUGAUU